GGUUACCUGGCAACUGUGUGGAGACAGCCCAGAAAUAGAAAUAGGGUGAAAUAAUCCAAGAGUGGAAGCUGAGAUACCAGCUUGGAAAUUAUUGCAGUUAUGCAGGGAACCUAAAUUUGAGGUCAAGGAUCAAAACGAGCCUUCUCUCUGUCAAGAGAUUUCUACUUAGACUUAUGUCUUCUGCAAAUGAUUUACUGAAGGCUUAUGGUAUGCUCAGUGACCUGUAUCGUUCUCAGACGAAAAACACGUAUAUGAUCUAAAAUGCAAAGUCAUCUUCAAUUAUGGUUAAAUAUCAUCAUCACCUCUACUAACCAUGUAUAAACCUUAUAAACUCUUUUUGCACUAACAA